CCAUUUAUUUGACAGAUGCCCUGCCCCAACCCAAAUUCCUCCAAGGGUGGGCAGAUUAGUAUCUGCCGGUAGGGGAAGCGGGAUGGAGUAAGGAGGAGAGAGACAGAGAGAGGAGAGACAGAUUGUCCUCAGGCGGAAACGCACGCACCCCUCCAGAGCCCGGCUCACCUGCCCCAGACGGACUCCUCUUGAUUUUUAAUCCGUUCAAAAGUUUGUCCUUCUCUCAAACAGUCCCAGGAGGGGCGCAAAUUUGGCAGUCGGGGUGCCCCUGAGGGCGCAGGCGCCUGAUCCGGAGCGAGCCCCAGGGAAGCACCUUCCCCAAAGUGUGGGCUGAAGCAGUGAUCCGGGGAGGAUAUUCAAGCGCCCGGGACAAGGGGCCAGGCUGCUUGCCCUGGGACCGCCGCGGGCCGAGUGGGCGCUGUAAGAGGGAGUGGCCAGCGGGGCCGGCUCGGCCCGGGGAACUGGGAGGAGAGGACCCUGGGUCCCUGGCGACGUCUGUUAGCUUCCUCCAGUGUGUGCCCUCCCGGGUGUGUCCCAGCCAACAACAUUCUUUCAACCCCUUCUGGGCCGGCCACUCAGGGCCGGGACAAGGCGAAGAAGGAGAGUGAGGGGGCGAAGAGACCCCCCCUCGUUAGCCCCUCCCUAAACCCCGCGCCACCGGUCCCCCCCUUUCCUGCCCAGAGCCAAGGGACAGACAGAGAAUUGCAACUAGAAAUUCGAUCGAUUGGUACGAGGGACCACGUGGUCCAGGGUUGGCCAAUGACCAGGACGCCCGGGAUGAGCUAAUAAUGGAAGCAAUUUGUAACUUUCAGUAGCUCUCUAGGCCUGAGUACUGGAGGGAGGGAGACGCGCCGAGGUGGGGAGGUGGGUACCCCUAGUCCUUGUACUCUCCUCUCUCGAGCAGGGGCACCCGGAGGCCCUAUUCCUCUUUAUCCCCAACACCGAGACACUCGCAGGGUCCCGCGCCCACUUCUGUACGGCGGCCGCCGCUCCAGAGCAAGACGGCCUUGCGGCUGGACACCCAUUUCGUGGCUGCACUUGCUGCCAGGUGUGGCCAGAGGGGAGUGGGAGCCAAGUAAUGUCAUCAGAGCCUUAAGACAUUGGGUAAGUUCUUCUUUCGCGAGCUGGACCCGAUGCACCUGGGACUGAGCUUUGACCAUGCACUUGAGGAGAAGUCCCUAAGAGAGAGCAAAGCAACCACAUGGAAGGAAGCCACGUCUCCGACUGACCAGGUGGAACCGAACUGCCUGCCGUCGAGAACUGCUCCACUGAGACUGUUACACGAAGAAUAAACUUGGUUUCUCU